rnacentral:rRNA from 1 species
GAUGAACGCUGGCGGCGUGCUUAACACAUGCAAGUCGAACGAUGAAGCCCAGCUUGCUGGGUGGAUUAGUGGCGAACGGGUGAGUAACACGUGAGUAACCUGCCCUUAACUCUGGGAUAAGCCUGGGAAACUGGGUCUAAUACCGGAUAGGAGCGUCCACCGCAUGGUGGGUGUUGGAAAGAUUUAUCGGUUUUGGAUGGACUCGCGGCCUAUCAGCUUGUUGGUGAGGUAAUGGCUCACCAAGGCGACGACGGGUAGCCGGCCUGAGAGGGUGACCGGCCACACUGGGACUGAGACACGGCCCAGCCUCCUACGGGAGGCAGCAGUGGGGAAUAUUGCACAAUGGGCGCAAGCCUGAUGCAGCGACGCCGCGUGAGGGAUGACGGCCUUCGGGUUGUAAACCUCUCUCAGUAGGGAAGAAGCGAAAGUGACGGUACCUGCAGAAGAAGCACCGGCUAACUACGUG